GUGAGACCCAAAAUUUAGAAUAAUUAUAUAUAUAAAUAUAAUAUGACUAAAUUUUUUAACUCGUCUAUAAUAUUUUGGAUGAUGGCUAGGUCUAAAAAGUUAAAAGAGUUAAACGUUAGGGCUAAAAUAGUCUUAGAAUGGAUGACCUUCUAGAAAAUGAGACGUCACAGUUGGUUUCAAACCUAAUUACCAGCCGGACAUAUGAAAUGAGUCUUUCGACUGAGAUAGAUUAUAUAGUGGACAGAGUUGGACUCUCUAAUUGAUAACUAUUAUCGGUGGAGCACGGUAAGACUCCAGAAUUUAAAGUAGUCAUAUAUAAGAUUGAAUAGAACUAAAUCUCUUAACUCGACUAUAAUAUUUUGAACGGUGAAUAUGUCCAAGUCUCUGGAAAGUAUAGCGUCACAAAAUUAU
rnacentral:lncRNA from 1 species